UCUACAACCAACACAGAGAUCACAAGUCAGAUACAAGCCCGGGCCUCUGGGCCCAAUGUAUGAACACCCAAAAUUCUGGAUUUUCAUGUGCCAUGUUCUAAACAGUUCUGGGGAGUGAAGUUAAAAUCAUUCAUUAUUCAUCUAAGACCCUGCCUCACUGAUGCACACGCGGGGUGGCCCAUCCAACAAACACUGGGCAAAGGCACCACAUCAAUACUUCCCAAAGGAUCGAGGAGUUUCUCUAUGGGGGCUGGGGCUUUAACUUCCACUAGAGUCAAGACUCUCUUUGAAAUCAUGUACUCCUCUAACACCUGUAUCCUAACACAAAGGUGAGGAUUAUCCUGGGUAGGAAACGCACUGUAUUAAAAAGAGAAAUAUUUUAUCCAACAUUAAGCAGGUUCUCAUAACCUUCCCACUUGAUGGCAAAAAGAAAAUUAAUGAAUUACAUAAUACUGGGCUUUCUCUUAGGAUACUGCUUUGAGGAGUACAAACAGGUAGUGGAUUUUUAUGGAUUUCUUUUGUAUUUACUUUUAUGAAUGCAAAAAGAAUAUGGCAGGUAAAGUCUGAGUAUGUACCGAAGACCCUGAUUACUAGGUCCUAGCUCUUUGCUUUAAUUAUGAAAUAAAAUUCCUAUUUUGCACAACCUCCAGCCUCUCAUGAUUAGCUGCUGACUUGAAACAUAAUGUUGUCUUCUGGAAGUUAUCAGUAACAGGGCAGCAGGCGGAACAGCUGGGGUUGGCUCUUGGCCCAGCUGGCCAGCCUGUGACAGGAGGGCAGUGAGGCGAGUCCCUCAUCCGCACCAGGACCUAAUCCAAGCCCAGCCCAAGGGCUCUCUGUGAGGCCUCAAUGAGAGGACGUGUGAGGAAGCAUCUGGCCAGGCCCAGACUAUCUUGGGUUUGUACACAGGCAAAGGCCAAGCCUGUCCCUCAAUGAGAUGAGGUAAGGACAGCGGGGGUCACACCAGCAAGCCAUAAGGAACACAUGAAUGGAAGAUCCUGAAGUCUCUCGGACUUGGCAACAUGAAACACUACACCACCACUGGCCAUUUUAAAUCCUAGGGUCACAGACACCUGUGGAGGAUUUUUCUCAAAAAAGUGCCUCCUGAUAAGAACUCUGCUUCUGUACCACCCUCGCUAGUCCAACAGAGACCCAAGAAAACCCUGUACCUCCUCUUCUUUCAUUCUUGCUGAGUAUCUGUGUGGCAAGUACUGUUCUGGGCCCUGGAGGUACAAAAUGACUAACACACAGCGAUAUCCCUGCUCUUACCUAUAUACUAAUGGGAAAAAUGACAGGAAACAAAAUGAAAAAGUGAACUUUUUCACAUCAGAAAGUGAUUAAAAUCAAUAAAGCACCGAGGGUUAUAUGGGAGGACCUAAGGGAGGAGUGUCCUAGCCGGAUGGGGUCACCAGAACCAAGGCCCAGAGGGAGGAACUUGCCGGGGCAAUUACAGGAGCAAGGAGGCCACGGCAGAGGGACUCAGCUCACUGCCCACAUGUCACAGGUCCACUCCUGUCAACAGGAGCCCCCGGAGAGCAGCAGGUGGUGAGGUCCUAGAAGGCCUGUGGGCCAGGGUAAGGACUGGCGCCCCACACAGUCUGCGGACGGUGUGGAGCAGUGGGUGACAUGAUCUAACUGAAGCUUAAAAGGACCACUUGGGCUGAUCUGUGGACAGGGAGACUGCAGGCAUCAAGGGACGAGAACUGGGAGGCGGCUGCACGAAUCCAGGGAAUAAGGACAGUCAGAGAAGAGUUCGAGAACUUUGCUACCAGGCGUGCCACUGGUCAGAAGCUGAAGAGAUGAGCACAAAGCAGCAAAGCAGACUAAGAAGGAGGGGGACACCAAGAGGUUUUCCUGAAGAGGGGAGAAACACCGUCACGCGACACGCUUGGGGAAAGGCGCCGGAGGACAGUCUUCGGAGCACUGGGACAUCCACGGAGAGAGGGGAAAGCAGAGUCCCCGUGCACAGACAAGGCAGGGGCAGGCGGCAGGCCGGAUGUCCAGACCACCCCCGCACCAGAGAGAGAGAGCAGCAGGCCACUGAGGAGGCGAGCAGGAAGGUCUGAAACCUCCCUGGGUGCUAAGGUUGGGGGGCAAUGCUGGCCGGUUGCAGGACCCCCCGAGAGGCGGCUGCCAGCACUCGGCCAGGCUCAGCCGAAGGCGGAUUCCACGAGGACUGGACCGUGUGAGGCAACAUAAGGAAGUGAAAUGGGCAAAGGAGAGUCUAUGGACUAACGAGAGACGCAAAGCUAGAAAAGGAGUGAAGCAAAGACCAGAGAGGCCGAGUGAGGGUGACGAGGGAGGAAGCCUCAGGGCUGUCAUAGUCCUGGAGAGCGGGAGCUGCUGAAAGGGACGCGUGACACUGGUAAUGACAAGAACUACGUGUGACUACGAAGGGAGGCUGAGGUGGAGGAGAACGGGACAGCAAGCAGCUUAAGAGUUCCUGGGGUUGGAAGGAUUCUUGAAUUAGAAACAGCAACGGAGCUCAAGGUGAGGGCCUGCCGCCCGGGUGCUUUACAGGCCUCCACCUCGCCCUGGCUCCAGCGCUCCUGGCAGCCCACGCCUCUGCCACCCAAGGCCCCAUCCCCGUGCCCCUGCCGGGCCACUGCCAUCCUCGUGUCCCAGCACAGCUCUUGCACGGCCCGGCCCUGUGUGGGGCACAUUACCUACAGUACAGCUCAUUUAAACCACCAGUACCUCUGUUUUUAAGAGAAGAUGAGAGAGAUGAGGGAACCUGCCUACAGUCCGAGAACUGGAAGAGGGGCCCAGGAGGCCUGCCUGCUCCCAGGACCUGCUUUCCCCCAACAGCACUUGAGGAUCUGCACACAUUUCCUCGCAUGUCUGCAGUAUCCACGCACUUAAACCCCUCAAAACGUUAACUUCAGACACCAAUGACUCCCCUUUAUCACUGAGGUUCCUUUUAUUCUAUUUCUAGGUAUCUGUCAGUAUGGAAAAGAAGUCUGGAAAAAUAGGGCUGUGUUCCUUACCAGUGGUUGGUGGGACCGAUCCCUUCACACUACUGAGAUAUGGCUGCUGGGUUUAACCUGUCAUUCAGCCAGGCCAGGUUUCUUCUUGGGGCACAGGUAUGAAGGGAUGGAGAAAGCAAAACAAGCCCCUGCCCCCCGCCCUGUCCCGGGCCUGGGAGGCAGCAGCAACAGCCAGCAGCUGGCCGGGAGAUCCAGCAACACCUGGCUGUCCUCCUCAGCCCCAGGGAGGAGCAGCGGCGGUCUGGCCCAAGCGUUUCUACACUGCGUACGGAACGGGUCCAGCCUCACGCAACUGCCUUAGAAAUGCCUCUGUUUCCAGCUAACUAUCUGGCUGGGUUCUGCAGGGUGCCAAGCUGAGAAGACAAAAUGUGGGACAGGAUCCCUGCCGACCUUGAGAGGUUCAACUAGCAAACCAUGAAAGUAAACGAAAGCCCCCUGAGCCUACUGGCCGGGCAGCACAGCCCGGCCGCUAUCUGGGCAGCAGGCAGGCCCCGCAGGGCAACCACGACUCUGCAGCGAGAGCGGGGCCUGGCCCGGGCUUGCGGGACCCCCGGGGGUCCCUGGGAAGAGGGACUCACACUCCCUGCUCUCAGCUUCCAGAGCAACGGGCUCAUCCUCAGCACAGCAUGUGAGAGAUGAAACGUCAGGGCAAGACAGCUGUGAGACUGGGCCCCAGCACCCUGCGCCGUUUUACAGAGGGGUUAGUAGUUUCUCAAAACGCCUGUGUUUAUGCCAACAAGGAGGGGGUGCUGGCCUUUCCCUCACUUGGUAAGAACUGCUGUGUUCUCAGAGCAAAUGGGUCCAAUGGGGCCCACGGCAGGCGGCACUUCCGGGGAGCAUCAGCAGUGGCUGCCACAGGCACGAAUCCUCCCCGCGAACGCACUGAGGCCCCAGGAGCCUCCUGCCUCCCCACCACUCCUUCAAGGACAGCGGACUCUAUGUGAAGGAUAACUUCAACCUGCGUUAAGGAAAUACUCAACCAAAGAGGCUUCGCUCUGUGUAGUUUCCCUCUAACUUACCAGAAGCCUCCUAUUUGCGGGGACUGUAUGCCUGAAACUAAAUCCUCAAAGCCAACUCACACUAGCUCCCCUUCUUGGCCCAAGUUUGGGCUCUAACUUGCGACUAAAAGUCAUUUAGACAACAUAAUUAAAUGUAUCUCAUUUUAACAGCUUUUAGAUUCAUGGUUUUAAUACACCGCCACCGCAUCUGCUGAGUUCCAGAAUGAUGCACUGCUCAAGUUUAGCGAACGAUAAGCAAGAAGCUGUUACAAGGUCUGAAAUGCAGUUACUCACCCUUAUCAUCAAUACUGCUUUCCUGAUGUCCCGGAUGCCAUCAUACACCAGGCGGGAGGCAUCGAUAAACUCAUUCUCAUCCAUGGGCUGGGCGGGGUCCGAGCUGAGGGCUUCCACGGCCGCCUCCACUUGCUCCGUAAAACGCGGCAUGACUGUGGAGAAAGAGGCAGGGCAGACCCUGCUGGCCUGGCAGACAUCAUUGUUCUACCACCAGCCCUCCCUAAAUCCCUCAGGGAGACACGAGGCGGCAAGGUGUAUGAUGAAGAGCCUCUGCCUCCACCUAUGUGAGAAGUAGUUACAGUUGAAAUAAAUUAAAUGCCAUAUUUUACCAAGACUCACAUCAUCUUUGUCUCUUUGACCAGAUUUUGCAGUAUCAGAUUUGGAUGGGUGAGCCACUGAAGUGAGAUAAACUGGAGGCCUUGCUUAAGAACAGGACCCUCCCUGCUUAAUUCAGUAUUUAUUCACUAACAAGAAACUCAACUCAGAGGGUCAUCUUAGAUAGUAUGUUCAGAACUAUUCCCAUCAUUAGCUGUGGGACACGUGAAAGAAAGGUGAAAACACUUAAUUUGGCGGAUCAACUUCUCAAAGCCUGAUGUUCGACCCAGACAUGUCAUGUGAAGACCUGAGCUGCAUCCUGAUCUUGCCCUUCCUAACCAGGGCACAGGGCGGCCCAGCCCACCCAGGCCAUCUAUGCGUGGGGAGCACCAUAAAGGGAGGGAGUCCCCGAACCUGUGUUGGAGAGCAGCUUUGUGGCUUCCAGCACCUUCUCUGUGUAGACCCCUGGCUCAUAGUUGUCCAUCUCUGAGGUGACUACAUGAAUGACCCGAGCAGCCCGGCCUCGAAUCGCACCAGCUGUGCGGUCCAGCCCAUCCACAUCUUUCUCUUGGAGAGCAAUGACGCAUUUGUUCACAUCUUCCAAAAUGUGAUUCUCUGAAGAACGAACAAAAAGCUGAAUGAGGGAGAAGGCAUUCCACCAGAAGGGGACAACUGCAGGCUGGCACCUGUCGCUCACUGAGUACUCAUUGCAUGCCAAAGUUCCCCGUGUAUCAUUUCGCUGGAGACCAGACUCACCGCUGGAUUAACUGUCCCACAGAAAUUCAACCUGUAAUCACCUCCAAGAA